rnacentral:rRNA from 1 species
AGGGAAUCUUCCACAAUGGACGCAAGUCUGAUGGAGCAACGGCCGCGUGAGUGAAGAAGGUUUUCGGACCGUAAAGCUCUGUUGUUGGUGAAGAAGGAUAGAGGUAGUAACUGGCCUUUAUUUGACGGUAAUCAACCAGAAAGUCACGGCUAACUACGUGCCAGCAGCCGCGGUAAUACGUAGGUGGCAAGCGUUGUCCGGAUUUAUUGGGCGUAAAGCGAGCGCAGGCGGAAGAAUAAGUCUGAUGUGAAAGCCCUCGGCUUAACCGAGGAAUUGCAUCGGAAACUGUUUUUCUUGAGUGCAGAAGAGGAGAGUAGAACUCCAUGUGUAGCGGUGGAAUGCGUAGAUAUAUGGAAGAAUACCAGUGGCGAAGGCGGCUCUCUGGUCUGCAACUGACGCUGAGGCUCGAAAGCAUGGGUAGCGAACAGGAUUAGAUACCCUGGUAGUCCAUGCCGUAAACGAUGAGUGCUAAGUGUUGGGAGGCUUCCGCCUCUCAGUGCUGCAGCUAACGCAUUAAGCACUCCGCCUGGGGGAGUACGACCGCAAGGUUGAAAUCUC